UUUGAAUUUCAUUGAAUAGACAGCGUUUGUAGUCCCAGGUCGUGGUCUAUUUGUAUUCGUUAGGAUGUUAUUUGGUAUGACAAAUGCACCGUCGAAUUACACAGACUUUCUGAUCGUUUGUUUGGACCAGAUUUUGAUAACGAAGUCCUGUUACCUAGAUGAUAUUAUUAUUUUACUUUCAAAAGAUUUUAAAUUCAUUCAGCAUUUUAGAUAAAUAAAUAUCAAAGAUUAAAAGAUUCUAGACUUGCAAAUAACUUAAAUAAAUUUGAAUUUUGCUAAAGAAUAUAAUAUUCCAAAAAUAUUUCAUAACAUACUCCUCAGAAUAACCCAGUUGAACGUUUUAAUAAAACUAUUGAGACUUGCUUAGCAUGCUAUGUUGAAAGUGACCAUAGAACGUGGUCUAAAUAUUUACCCCAUGUUCAGGCAGCUAUUAAUGGCACUAUUAAUUUAGUUACAGGAUACACACCUAAUUUUCUUAUGUUUGGUAGGGAAGUUUUCCUUGAUGGAUCCUUACAUAAAUUUUAUUCUAUCUCUGAC